rnacentral:rRNA from 1 species
GAUGAACGCUAGCGGCAGGCCUAAUACAUGCAAGUCGAGGGGCAGCAGUUCAGUUUUACUGAAGCUGGCGACCGGCGCACGGGUGCGUAACGCGUAUGCAACCUACCUUGUACUGGGGGAUAGCCCGGAGAAAUUCGGAUUAAUACCCCAUGGUACCACGAGACAACCUUGUUUUGUGUUUAAAGAUUUAUCGGUACAGGAUGGGCAUGCGUCUGAUUAGUUAGUUGGUGAGGUAACGGCUCACCAAGACGAUGAUCAGUAGGGGUUCUGAGAGGAUGAUCCCCCACACUGGAACUGAGACACGGUCCAGACUCCUACGGGAGGCAGCAGUAGGGAAUAUUGGUCAAUGGGCGAGAGCCUGAACCAGCCAUGCCGCGUGCAGGAAGACGGCCUUCUGGGUUGUAAACUGCUUUUAUCAGGGAACAAAUCGCCCAUGCGUGGGUAGUUGCGUGUACCUGAAGAAUAAGCACCGGCUAACUCCGUGCCAGCCGCCGCCGUAACAC